rnacentral:rRNA from 1 species
GAUGAACGCUGGCGGCGUGCCUAAUACAUGCAAGUCGAGCGAACGGACGAGAAGCUUGUUUCUCUGAUGUUAGCGGCGGACGGGUGAGUAACACGUGGAGAACCUACCUAUAAGACUGGCAUAACUUCGGGAAACGGGAGCUAAUACCGGAUAAUAUUUUGAACCGCAUGGUUCAAAAGUGAAAGACGGUCUUGCUGUCACUAAUAGAUGGAUCCGCGCUUCAUUAUCUAGUUGGUAAGUUAACGUCUUACCAAGGCAACGAUGCUUAGCCGACCUGGGAGGGUGACCGGCAAAACUGGAACUGAGCCACGGUCAAACCUCCUCCGGGAGGCAGCGGAAGGGAACUUCCCGCAUUGGGGGAAAGCUUGCCGGAGCACCGCGGCGUGGGUGAUGAAGUUCUCGGGAUCGUAAAACUCUGUUAUUAGGGAAAACCAUAUGUGUAAGUAACUGUGCACAUAUUGACGGUACCUACUCAGAAAGCCACGGCUAACUACGUG